rnacentral:misc_RNA from 1 species
CCACCGCAACUUCCACCGCCGUGACCCGUAUUCUCACCAGCCACCACCUCCAUCGGCUGUUCACUGGAAUUCAAGCCCAAGUCCUGGACAAACUAGCUCUGGACCGAGCCCUAGCCCAAACUCACCGGCAUCACCAACCCCUCAGCAGUCCGUCUAUCCAUCUGCACCCCAUAUGCUUCUGGCCUUGAGCACAGGACAUUCUGAGCCGUUUGAUGAGAAUCAGCACCAGAAUCCAAGUUUUAAUCCAACAGUGAUGAACCCACAUGGGAGAAAGAGAGCAAGAACCAAGUUUACAGAAGAACAGAAAGAGAAGAUGCAUGUCUUUGCUGAAAAGUUGGGGUGGAAGAUGCUGAGAGGAAAUGAAGAGAAAAAGGUGGAGGAGUUUUGCCGUGAAGUUGGGGUGAAAAGGAAUGUUUUUAAGGUCUGGAUGCACAAUAACAAGCAAAGAAAGGAAAAAGGUAAUAAUCACAACAGUUGUGAUAUCAAUAAGAAUAUUGUUAAUGAUAAUGAGGAUAGAGUUGGUUUUGACACCUACAACUGCAACUCCAACGAUAUCAAUGGCAGCAAGUAUGAUGGCUUCAGUAGGUACCAGAUUGAGAGUAAAGUUAGAGCUCAUGGUGGUUCUCCUGAUGGGUCUUCUCCUUCAUCUUAAUCUAGAGUUAGAGAGUUAUUGCUUCAGAAAAAGAAAGUAAAGAACAGAAGCUAGCAAGUAAGCAUGCGGAAUCUUUCAUCCUUUUCUUUGCCCUUUUUGGUUCUCUUAUUUUACUUUGUUAUUUGUUUCUUGAUUAAUUAGUGAUCAGUAAUCACUAAUUAUUGACGAUGAAGGAUCAUAAUAGAGGGUAGGAUGACAUUUAAGGAGAAUUACUUCUCUUACAUAGCUAUUAAUAGAAAUUUCUUGAUCCUUGUUAACAGACUUCUGUUCAAAUAUUUAUUUUCUUUGUGCUUAUAAUUCUAGUUCCUUCAUUUUCUAUCUCUGUGUAUCAAAUUGUGCUUUAGAUUAAUUUCAGCUGUAGUAUCACCAAGAAGUAGGGAAGGAUGAUCAUCAGUAGGUCUGGAUGUAACUUUCUGGUAUUUUCUUGUGAUUGUAACUUGAUUAGGUGAGAGUGGCUUGAUAUUAAAGUAGCAGCUUCCCAAUAGGGGGAGAAAAAACUGAAAUGCAAAUAAAACGAAACAGCCUAUCCCAUCCUCAUUUGUCCAGAUCCGAGGCUUAUCACUUUUUGGGUGCAAUUUGUUAUGGCAUAUUAUAUGCAAUAAUGCCAUUUUCCAUU